UUUUAUUUAGUUUAAAAAAAAUCGUGACUUGUCAAGUCACAGAUUGAAGAAAGUUCAAGUAAAAC
rnacentral:tRNA from 1 species